rnacentral:rRNA from 1 species
CCUACGGGAGGCAGCAGUAAGGAAUAUUGGACAAUGGGCGCAAGCCUGAUCCAGCCAUGCCGCGUGAAGGAUUAAGGUCCUCUGGAUUGUAAACUUCUUUUAUAGGGGACGAAAAAAGGGCAUUCUUGUUCACUUGACGGUACCCUAUGAAUAAGCACCGGCUAACUCCGUGCCAGCAGCCGCGGUAAUACGGAGGGUGCAAGCGUUAUCCGGAUUCACUGGGUUUAAAGGGUGCGUAGGCGGGCAGGUAAGUCAGUGGUGAAAUCCUAGAGCUUAACUCUAGAACUGCCAUUGAUACUAUCUGUCUUGAAUAUUGUGGAGGUAAGCGGAAUAUGUCAUGUAGCGGUGAAAUGCUUAGAUAUGACAUAGAACACCUAUUGCGAAGGCAGCUUACUACGCAUAUAUUGACGCUGAGGCACGAAAGCGUGGGGAUCAAACAGGAUUAGAUACCCUGGUAGUCCACGCCCUAAACGAUGGAUACUCGACAUACGCGAUACACUGUGUGUGUCUGAGCGAAAGCAUUAAGUAUCCCACCUGGAAGUACGUCCGCAAGGAUGAAACUUAAAGGAAUUGACGGCUUGAGAGNGCGAGGCGACGACGAGGGAGGAGG